rnacentral:rRNA from 1 species
AGUAGCUUGCUACUUUGCCGGCGAGCGGCGGACGGGUGAGUAAUGUCUGGGAAACUGCCUGAUGGAGGGGGAUAACUACUGGAAACGGUAGCUAAUACCGCAUGAUGUCGCAAGACCAAAGUGGGGGACCUUCGGGCCUCACGCCAUCGGAUGUGCCCAGAUGGGAUUAGCUAGUAGGUGAGGUAAUGGCUCACCUAGGCGACGAUCCCUAGCUGGUCUGAGAGGAUGACCAGCCACACUGGAACUGAGACACGGUCCAGACUCCUACGGGAGGCAGCAGUGGGGAAUAUUGCACAAUGGGCGCAAGCCUGAUGCAGCCAUGCCGCGUGUGUGAAGAAGGCCUUAGGGUUGUAAAGCACUUUCAGCGAGGAGGAAGGCGUUGUAGUUAAUAGCUGCAACGAUUGACGUUACUCGCAGAAGAAGCACCGGCUAACUCCGUGCCAGCAGCCGCGGUAAUACGGAGGGUGCAAGCGUUAAUCGGAAUUACUGGGCGUAAAGCGCACGCAGGCGGUUUGUUAAGUCAGAUGUGAAAUCCCCGAGCUUAACUUGGGAACUGCAUUUGAAACUGGCAAGCUAGAGUCUUGUAGAGGGGGGUAGAAUUCCAGGUGUAGCGGUGAAAUGCGUAGAGAUCUGGAGGAAUACCGGUGGCGAAGGCGGCCCCCUGGACAAAGACUGACGCUCAGGUGCGAAAGCGUGGGGAGCAAACAGGAUUAGAUACCCUG